AUCUUUAGCCAGUGUCUGCCUUUUGAUUGAUAGAGGAAGAACCAGAUGAAACAGAACUAAUCUCCAAGCAACAGACCCAACAGAAGGAAGAAAAGACAGCCCAAUAAUUUGCUCAUUUCCAUUUGUCAUGGGCUCAGCUAAGAAGGAGAGAGAGCUGAGCUGCCCAGUGUUGAAGGACCCAGUGAAGAUAGCAAGCCCACUGCAUUAGUCAGGUCUCACACUGCUAAUGAAGACAUAACUGAGACUGGGUAAUUUAUGAGGGAAAGAGGUUUGAUUGACUCACAGUUCAGCGUGGCUUGGGAAGCCUUAGGAAUCUUAACAGUUGUGGUGGAAGGGGAAGCAGACACGUCUUUCUUCACGUGGUGGCAGCAAGAAGUGCUGAGCAAAAGUGGGAAAAGCCCCUUAUAAAACCAUCAGAUCUCAUGAGAACUUACUCACUAUCAUGAGAACAGCAGCAUGGGAGUGACCACACCCAUGAUUCGAUUACCUCCCACUGGAUCCCUCCCAUGACGUGAGAAUUUUAGGAACUACAAGUCUAGAUGAGAUUUGGGUGGGGACACAUCCAAACCAUAUCACCCACACUAAAGCAACAGUCAAGACUUUCAUCACUUGCUGUGAUAGCACAGGAAUGAGGCUCCAUCAGAGAAAGCACCAGCUUCUACCAUUCCAUUUUUUCCCACUCGCAUCACCAAAUGGUGAUUUGAGGGUAAGGUAGAUUGCACAGACGUGGGGGUCAUCUCACUGCUGCACAAUCCUACAACAAAAGGCUUCUGCAGUUUUAUGGAAUGGAGGCUAAGGGGAGGAAGAGGAGGAAGGGCUAGGUGUGGAAAAGUACUGGGUACUGAGUCAUAGUGGGUGAAAGUGUGUCUUCAUGUUUCCCCUGUUUUUCUAUGACAAGGAUGUCUUGGCAGAGGUGCCCAAGGAAGCCCUCCGCUGAAGGUAACUAAUAAAGGUAACUUUGAAAGGAGAUACGUGUAAGACCAUGGCUGGUCAAGGGGACUCGAGUCCUUGACUGCAACUCUCCUAGGAGACUGUGACGCAUUGAUUAUGCACUGGGUCUGGUGUGGGGAGGACAAUUUCCCCCAUGAGCCCUGCCAGUUAAAGCCUCUGUAAUUCUAUAAUUGCCUACGGUCAGGCUUGAAAGAUCACAUGGAGGGGAUUUUGUUGUUGUUGUCUGAGACAGAGUCUGGCUCUGUCAUCCAGGCUGGAGUGCAGUGGCGUGAUCUUGGCUCACUGCAACCUCCACCUCCUGGGUUCAAGUGAUUCUCCUGCCUCAGCCUCCUGAGUAGCUGGGAUUACAGGCACUUGCCACCACACCCGGCUAAUUUUUGUAUUUUUAGUAGAGAUGGAGUUUCACCAUGUUGGCCAGGCUGGUCUCAAACUCCUGACCUCAAGUGAUCCACCCACCUUGGCCACCUAAAGUGCCAGGGUUACAGGUGUGAGCCACUGUGCCUGCCCUCACGUAGGUUUUUAACCAGGAGCUUGACUCCUCACUAUUCUCUCCAGAGACUUCUUCACAUGACAGUGCACCCAGAGAAGAAAAUGGUGCUAUUAAAACGAGGGAUCAUGAAACAGUUCUCAUAAAUUUCAAGCACAAACACAAAAUUAAAUGGGAAGAUACCUGAACGAACCUAUAAAUUCAUUGCAGUAGCACUAUUCACAAUAGCAAAGACAUGGAAUCAACCCAAAUGCCCAUCAGUGAUAGACUGGAUAAGGAAAAUAUGGCACAUAUACACCGUGGAAUACUAGGCAGCCAUAAAAGGAGCAAGAUUAUGUCCUUUGCAGGGACAUGAAUGGAGCUGGAAGCCAUCAUCCUCAGUAAACUAACACAGGAACAGAAAACCAAACAUGGCAUGUUUUCCCUUAGAAGUGGGAGCUGAACAAUGAGAACACAUGGACACAGCGAGGGGAACAACACACAAUGGAGUCUGUUGGGAGGGUCAGGGGGAGGGAGAGCAUCAGGAUAAAUAGCUAAUGCAUGCGGG
rnacentral:lncRNA from 10 species